rnacentral:rRNA from 2 species
GGUAUUGAUUGGUGCUUGCAUCAUGAUUUACAUUUGAGUGAGUGGCGAACUGGUGAGUAACACGUGGGAAACCUGCCCAGAAGCGGGGGAUAACACCUGGAAACAGAUGCUAAUACCGCAUAACAACUUGGACCGCAUGGUCCGAGUUUGAAAGAUGGCUUCGGCUAUCACUUUUGGAUGGUCCCGCGGCGUAUUAGCUAGAUGGUGGGGUAACGGCUCACCAUGGCAAUGAUACGUAGCCGACCUGAGAGGGUAAUCGGCCACAUUGGGACUGAGACACGGCCCAAACUCCUACGGGAGGCAGCAGUAGGGAAUCUUCCACAAUGGACGAAAGUCUGAUGGAGCAACGCCGCGUGAGUGAAGAAGGGUUUCGGCUCGUAAAACUCUGUUGUUAAAGAAGAACAUAUCUGAGAGUAACUGUUCAGGUAUUGACGGUAUUUAACCAGAAAGCCACGGCUAACUACGUGCCAGCAGCCGCGGUAAUACGUAGGUGGCAAGCGUUGUCCGGAUUUAUUGGGCGUAAAGCGAGCGCAGGCGGUUUUUUAAGUCUGAUGUGAAAGCCUUCGGCUCAACCGAAGAAGUGCAUCGGAAACUGGGAAACUUGAGUGCAGAAGAGGACAGUGGAACUCCAUGUGUAGCGGUGAAAUGCGUAGAUAUAUGGAAGAACACCAGUGGCGAAGGCGGCUGUCUGGUCUGUAACUGACGCUGAGGCUCGAAAGUAUGGGUAGCAAACAGGAUUAGAUACCCUGGUAGUCCAUACCGUAAACGAUGAAUGCUAAGUGUUGGAGGGUUUCCGCCCUUCAGUGCUGCAGCUAACGCAUUAAGCAUUCCGCCUGGGGAGUACGGCCGCAAGGCUGAAACUCAAAGGAAUUGACGGGGGCCCGCACAAGCGGUGGAGCAUGUGGUUUAAUUCGAAGCUACGCGAAGAACCUUACCAGGUCUUGACAUACUAUGCAAAUCUAAGAGAUUAGACGUUCCCUUCGGGGACAUGGAUACAGGUGGUGCAUGGUUGUCGUCAGCUCGUGUCGUGAGAUGUUGGGUUAAGUCCCGCAACGAGCGCAACCCUUAUUAUCAGUUGCCAGCAUUAAGUUGGGCACUCUGGUGAGACUGCCGGUGACAAACCGGAGGAAGGUGGGGAUGACGUCAAAUCAUCAUGCCCCUUAUGACCUGGGCUACACACGUGCUACAAUGGAUGGUACAACGAGUUGCGAACUCGCGAGAGUAAGCUAAUCUCUUAAAGCCAUUCUCAGUUCGGAUUGUAGGCUGCAACUCGCCUACAUGAAGUCGGAAUCGCUAGUAAUCGCGGAUCAGCAUGCCGCGGUGAAUACGUUCCCGGGCCUUGUACACACCGCCCGUCACACCAUGAGAGUUUGUAACACCCAAAGUCGGUGGGGUA